rnacentral:rRNA from 1 species
AGUGAACGCUGGCGGUAGGCCUAACACAUGCAAGUCGAACGGCAGCACAGUAAGAGCUUGCUAUUACGGGUGGCGAGUGGCGGACGGGUGAGGAAUACAUCGGAAUCUACUUUUUCGUGGGGGAUAACGAAGGGAAACAUACGCUAAUACCGCAUACGACCUACGGGUGAAAGCAGGGGAUCUUCGGAUCUUGCGCGAUUGAAUGAGCCGAUGUCGGAUUAGCUAGUUGGCGGGGUAACGGCGCACCAAGGCGACGAUGCGUAGCUGGUCUGAGAGGAUGAUCAGCCACACUGGAAGUGAGACACGGUCCAGGCUCCUACGGGAGGCAGCAGUGGGGAAUAUUGGACGAUGGGCGCAAGCCUGAUCCAGCCAUACCGCGUGGGUGCAGAGGGCCUUCGGGUUGUAAAGCCCUUUUGUUGGGGAAGAAAAGCAGCAGGUUAAUACCCCGCUGUUCUGACGGUACCCAAAGAAUAAGCACCGGCUAACUUCGUG